AACACAAUACACUAGCGGAUCAUAAAUCUCUUAGACGCGGAAAUUUGUCAUGUUAUUUGUAUCAAUGUUUGCUUUAAUCAAUUUAUUAUUUUAUUAAUAAAAAUUUUUUUGAGGCUAUUAAAAUUCUCUUAUGACAGAUUUAUAAAUAUGGAUCUACUUUUCACUGGCGUAUUAUCGCGCAUGCGCAUAAUGUUUUCUUUUAUCGCCAUUUUAUGUAUUAUUUAGUUCCAUACCGAUUGCCUAUUAUUUUUAUUAUAAUCAAUUCGAAUAAUCACAUUUAUUUAAUAAUUAACAGUAUAUCUUUUUACUGUCGUUUUCUUUUUCAGGCAAGAAAUAAAUUCCAAUAACACUAUAUUCAGCUUAACAAUUUAUGAUAUAAGUUGAAAUUUCAGAAGAAUUCCUGUUAUAAGAUGAAUUAUAUACUGUAUUGUAAGAUGCUGAUAUAAAAAAAUUCAUAUAAGAUUCAAUGAGAAGACCCUUAGGUUAUGAUUUUUCAUAGCUAAACAAUUUUUCUUUGAUCUUUCUUUUAAUUUAUUGAUGAUUAAGUAAAGAGCCAACUAAUAUUGUAGACUAAUACUUUUUGUCUCAAAAUAGUGAAAGUUUUCGAAGACUAUAGUAUUGACAAGUGGGGAAAAAAUUUAUUGUUUAUUUUUUCUUUGAUUUAUUUGCCAACUACAUCGAGUGUGCCCUAGAAUCUUAAUACACUGAACUCUGCUGUAUAGAAGUAUGUUUCUCAAACAAUGUGUACUGAACGUGCAAAAAAUUACAAUAAAUAUACUAUAUACCCAAGAUAAUCGUUCUAGGAUAUUUAGAUGACUCAUGUAUCUCUCAGUAUUUUUAUGAGAGAGAGUGGAGUGUCAUGCAACUCUCAGACUUGGAAUUUAAUAAAAAAAUUUCUACAAUGAAACUGUACAGUAAUAUUGUAUUAAAGAAAAUUAAGCAUCGUCACUACUUUUUAAAUUAUUUGAAAAUGAAUAAGCUGUGAAGAAGAUUUACUAUUAAUUCAUUUAAAUUAAUGAAGCUACUUUUUUAAUGUAAAUGAAAAAGAUGUUUACAAUGUUCAAUUAUCUUUGUUAUAUUUCACAACAACUAAUCAGAAAAUUAUAAAUUGAUAUUUUAAAAUAUAAAUAAGAUACAAUGUUUCUUACCGUGUGAUUUUACUGUUUAUUGGUAAAAAUUCUUAAAACCUCCUGAGAUACAUACAUGGAGGGAAUAAGUGUAAAAGAGAUAACCUGAGAAAAAGAGAAAAGAGAGAAAAAUAUGUGCCAGAUCUUGACGUCAUUUUCUGACGUAGCAAGUGAUUGUACAGCUCAUCGUAUAAUGUUAUUU